rnacentral:rRNA from 1 species
AUUGAACGCUGGCGGCAUGCUUUACACAUGCAAGUCGAACGGCAGCGCGGGCUUCGGCCUGGCGGCGAGUGGCGAACGGGUGAGUAAUGCAUCGGAACGUGCCCAGUAGUGGGGGAUAGCCCGGCGAAAGCCGGAUUAAUACCGCAUACGACCUGAGGGUGAAAGCGGGGGACCGAAAGGCCUCGCGCUAUUUGAGCGGCCGAUUUCGGAUUAGCUAGUUGGUGGGGGUAAGGCUUACCAAGCCGACGAUCCGUAGCUGGUCUGAGAGGACGACCAGCCACACUGGAACUGAGAAACGGCCAGAACUCCUACGGGAGGCACCAGUGGGGAAUUUUGGACAAUGGGGGCAGCCAUAUUCCAGCCAUGCCGCGUGCGGGAAGAGGGCCUCGGGUUGUAAACCGCUUUUGUUCGGGAAGAAAUCCUCUGGGCUAAUACCCCGGGGGGAUGACGGUACCGGAAGAAUAAGCACCGGCUAACUACGUG